GGGAGAGCUUCCUCCCUGCCGAGGCUGGGGUUAGACUGUUGCGGGGGAGGGGGACUCACAUACUGCCUGAAAUAAUAGAGCAGUUGGCCACCUGUGGAGUCUGUGGUGAAGGUGAUUCCCAGGGUGGGGUUGGAGAGGAGCUAAAUUCGAGGGGAACGUAGGUCAGUGUGGCACAUAGCUAGAGAGGAGUAGAGCUGGAGGGAAGCCCAGUGCUUGGGCCACUCCCCUCCCCCUCUUCACAUGCGCCUCUCAGCAUCUGCCCCCCUGUCCAGCAGCCCACUGGGAGUGCUUCCUCCCUCUUGUCUGGGGUAAAGGGUGGGGCAAGUGGGAUGUGGGUGAGGGUGGUCUAGGGGAAAACAAAUCCAGUGGCUUAUAGUUAUAGGGCGUCAUCAUUCAUUGAAAUUUUUGAUUCUGAAAAGGGGUUCCCAGUUAAUGAUGGGAAGGCGGACAACCACCUCAUGAGAAGAAACAAACAUUUCAAAGAUAAAGGCCAGAAGCUUCUGUUGGGAAGAAAGACUUAAUUAUGGGAUUUCCAGCUGAGACUUGAAAUAGAAGUGCUGAAAAAUCUCAGGAGGACCAUCAUCUUCAUGGUAUUUCCAGACAGAUCCCAUGGCCCUGUAAGACUGGGGUGAAUUUAAGGUAUUAUGCUUUCUCCAGACUCUUGUCUGCCACAUUUACACUUUGAAUCUGUGGAAUUAUUUUGGUGUUCAAUGGAUUCUAGGAGGGGAAGAAAGCUUAAUGCUCUAGAUUGUCAUCUUUCCACCAGGCAUGCUGAACAUCUCUUAACAGAAGAGGGAUAUGCUACUAACUGACUCCAAUGAAUGUCAAACUUCUACCAGAUUGGUGGUAUGGUAUUUGCACCGUCUCAGCAUAUAAGAAGACCAAGUAAAAGAAAGAUAAAGGAGAACAAAUAAUUGAAGACAGAACCACUGGGAGACAUAUGCAGGUUUACAAGUGAACAAUGAACCAAAGGAGACUGAAAAUAAGUACUAGUAGAAAGAAAAAUUAAAGAGAAUGGUUGUUCUUUCUUAAAGUUUAUAAAAUUCAUUUCCAAAGCAGAGCUGAUUGUUUUCCUCUCUACAAGUUCCUGCUAUGAAACUUCACUUUUUCUUUUGUGGACAGCACUAUCCUCCAGGUCACACAGUGUAAUUAUUUUUGGUAUCAUCUUUAACUCUUUAACUCUUCCUUUUCUGCCACUCUCACUAUAUCUAAUAGUUCAAAUGGAAGAUGAUCAAGAAAAGGAUAAAAAAAAAACCUAGAAUAUAAAUACAGUUAAAACAAGACCAAUGGACUUAGCAAUUAAGAAAUUAUUGAUAACCUUGCAGCUAGCAAUUUUGGGAGACUGCUGGAGUAUGAAAGCCAGGUUGCAUGGAGUUGAAAAUGAAUCAUUACAUUCAUCAUGUAUCACUACUCUGUCAAGUAGGUGACAAGAGCUUUGUCUAAAUUUCAUCUCUUCUAGUACAAUGAUCUGAAAACAGUAAGCACUUAAAAAUUGCUAAAUAGAAUGGAGCUGAAUUCAUCAUGUUUUCUUAACAGGAGAUUUUAGUAUAAUAGCUUGCAAAAGUUAUGAGAACAAUAUUCUUUAAAUGUUCAAAUUUCAUAUUUCAGGAUACAAUUAUUUCUUCAUUUAAAAAAUAUCUCCACUUGACAUUAUUCUGACAAAAAGUUUGAGUGCUCAUUUUUCUGAUUAACUUUGACCUGAUGUAAAAAUGUUACUGAAUUUUCUGCAAUAGUUACUGCUACCCUAUUAUCACUAAAUCAAUUUAGUUCUUGCAAUUUAUUAACACCUACAAGGAAAUAAUUAUUUAGGUU
rnacentral:lncRNA from 1 species